rnacentral:lncRNA from 10 species
CGCCCACCUCCGCCUCCCAAAGUGCUGGGAUGGCAGGCGUGAGCCACCGCGCCCGGCUGGGUUGUCCACUUUUAUCUCCUCUUUUCCUUGAUCGUCCUCCCCUUUUUUUCUCCUCUUCCUUUUCCUUAAGCCUUCGCCUGUCAAUCACGUCGAAACACAGUAUUUGACCGGAGCCAGUAUCUUGAUCUGCCUAAAGACAAGACAUUCAAUCGUGAACAGUCGAAUAUUAUUCCUUCCUCAAUUAUACAAAGAAGAACAAAUGCUUAAACAGACUGUCAUGCGUCCAAACCGUGAAGCACUACUCAGCAGGUAAAAAGAAAGGAGCCAUCAAGACACACAACAACGGGGAUGAGUUGCAUGAACAUUACGUGAAGCACUACUCAGCAGGAAGCUGCGUUUCCUCAAGUGUCGAGUGGCUCUCGUGCUUCCAGUCACAUUUCCGUGAAAGAAACUACUGGGAUAUUGGGGGCAGGACUUGACGACUGACAGCCAUCACCACAGCGCUGACUCUGUCCCUCAAGACCAUGAGUGUACCGGGCAGACACACUUCUCCUAGCUCUGGCCAGCCUGGCACUGCCAGUCCCAGCCAGGCAGCUGGGAGGGUGCCUGAACUGCCCCUGGCUGGGUGGCCUUAAGGACCCCAGGGGGUGCUGCCAGCCAUGACUCACCCACUUUCCACUUCUUUGCAGAAACCUAACUAUCAGUUAACUAUCAGGGUCCCCUUUUCUUUGUGUUAGGGACCCACGGGCCUGUAUUCCUUUACUGUCAUUUGAACGGUAUUUUGAGAAAACAGUAGGCACUCAACCAAGGCACACUGCUAAGUCAGUUUCCACUCGAGUAUCUGCUUUCCAGCUUCCAAGAUUUUCCAAGGUUGUGUUGCUGUUAUUCCCUCUUCUAUUCCCACACUUGUAAGAUUUUGUGUGUGUAUGUGACACAGUCAUACACACACACACCAGUUGUUAAAAUGCUGAAAUAUCUGGUUAAUAAACAGAAGCUUCCCUGAGCUUCAGGUGCCCCAUAGCCCCAGCCUUUUCCCUGAGACCCCAGUCCCCUACACUUUGUCCUGGGUGGUGAGUGUCUUCCCGCCUUUGGCGAUUUCGAGCUUUUCCUCACGUGGGAGGGCAAGGAGCUGCAUGCAAAGGGGUGAUGCUGAAGGCUGCACCUCCAGUUUAAAAAGGCUCCCCGGAUGAUUUUGACUACCAGCCAGAUUUACAAGCCA